CCUACGGGAGGCAGCAGUAGGGAAUCUUCCGCAAUGGACGCAAGUCUGACGGAGCAACGCCGCGUGAGUGAUGAAGGUCUUCGGAUCGUAAAACUCUGUUGUUAGUGAAGAACAAGUACCGUUCAAAUAGGUCGGUACCUUGACGGUAACUAACGAGAAAGCCACGGCUAACUACGUGCCAGCAGCCGCGGUAAU
rnacentral:rRNA from 1 species